GAGUGCUACUCCUAGUUGAUAGUUCAUACUUGAUAGUUCAAAUGCGUAGUUGGCAGUUGGCAGUUGGUAGUUGGCAGUUGGCAGUUCGUAACUUUUAAACUUUGCAACAAUAAUUAGCCUGCUUUAAAUUAUGAUACUGGUGGCACCAAUAGAUAUCUAUAGCUGGCCUAAGACGGCAAUAUCAUAUUAUAUGUACACAUCUAGGUAGGGAGGUAAUAUCAAGUCUAAUCCCCAUGCACCUAUAUUCCCAGAUCCCAUGCAGUAGGGGGGGGGGGGGGCAAUAUAGAAACAGGUUUUGCAUGGCUCUUUUAUAAAACUUAGAUUCUAUUGAGGCCAUUUAAAGUUGUGGUUAAAAGAUUAGAGGCAGUGCAAAGAUCUAUAUAAUUAUACAACAUUUGCUAACUGGCGUAGAAGAUGUAUAUAGUCUUUGCUGGCCUCAGACGGCACUAACGUGUGUCCAGUCCACUAUACAAUGUACAUUAAGUAGGGCUUGCCCCAAGGCUUAGAGAAACAGGUUUUGUAGAAUAAUUCCUGGCAUUAGUUUGUUGCGAAGUUUAAAGGUCACGAACUAUCAACUCCCAACUCCCAACUAUAUAUAUAUACCAACUACCAACUCCCAACUCCCAACUACCAACUGCCAACUAAGAGUAGCACUCUCAGGGCCACCGUAUUCUAGUCAUGUUUACUUGGAUAUUAAUUCAUGGAUUUGCAAAAUAAUGCUUCGUUCUCGAGUUAUGCCUAGUUUUGCUUACUUGGAAUGCCAUUGCAGCCUUUUCAGAAGAGCACGUAGCCAAACUUGUUCACCGAGUGUUGCUACUCUACUUAGUAGUUAGCUCUGCACUAGAAGGCUAGUUAUUGGUAGCUGCAAGAGUGAGAAGAGAGCUGCAAGGCUCUGCUGAUGCAGCCCGGCAUUAAUUUUAGACUUGAACUUUUGGCAUCGAUCGUUUUUAACAACAGUCAUGGUGGAUCCCACUCUUGAGUUUGCUAAUGCAAAAAGUUCAUCAUAAAUUAUGAUCUGAGUGUAUAAAAGCGCUUUUAUGUACGUAGCUUUGGCAUAUCCACCAAGGCAUCAGCACCUGCGGUGCUUUCAUUUUGUGUUGUAGUUCAAAUCCAUAUGUUUGCAGAGGUCAAAGUUUAUUGUGUACCUACCCCACACACUGUGCAGAGGGAGUCUCAAGAGGAGGCUGGGCCUAACUUCUUCUUUGACCAGAGGGCUCUUGAUUCAGCUCAUCGCAAACAGAAGAGACAACAGGACGGAGGACCCCCUGCAAAGAGACGACCCCCUCCCCAGCCCAGGGGGCCGUGCUGGUUUUGUCUGGAGGGCAAGGAAGUGGAGAAACAUCUUGUGGUCUCCAUCGGAGAGAUCAUGUGAGAUAGAGUGUGUUGUACUUGCUAAUACUGCACAUACAAAAUACAAUGUAGCUCACAAAUAGCAGACCACUAACAGUUUGUAUUGUAUACCCUAUAUAGACGUACCUGGCUUUAUCCAAGGGUGGGAUGGUACCAGAGCAUGUGCUGGUUCUACCCAUCGGUCACUAUGCAGCCUCCACUGACGCACCACCAGUCAGUUCAUGUGCUGUGUGUACCACUGCUGUGUGUGUAUAGUCAUUGUUUGUAUUGUGGAGAGUAUGUUUCCAUGCUCUGUGUGUACUAUUUAGCAGUCUGUAGUGGUCAGCCUGUAAGCAGGCCACCCUCUAUAAUACAGCCAGGUUAAUGGGCCCCAAAGUCUCCAUAGCAUCUGUUUGGACCUGUGUUAACAGACCACCUCUUUAGUACAGCCACUGUUGGUCUGCCCACUGUGUAAGCAGAGAUCACUAUACCAUAUAUCAUGCAUGUACACUGUAUGACCUGUGCUCUAUUACUGUAGGAGGUUUUAGAGGAGCUUGGAAAGUUUAAGAGUGCUCUGGGGAAGUACUUCAACAGCAAAGAUCAGUCGUGUGUCAUCUUCGAGAGAAACUACAAAUCACAGCAUUUUCAACUACAGGUUAUUCCAGUGACCAAGAUUCCAUCUGAUGCUCUGAGACAAGCCUUCAUAGAUUAUGGGCGGAGUAUGGGGGUGUGGCUUGAGACUGUGCCCAGGGAAACACCACCCUCAGAGCUUGCGUACACUGGUGUCCCAUACUUCCUGGCAGAGUUUGAUGAUGGGGGAAAUGUGUUCACAAGACCAUUUUCUUGCCAACUCACGCAGACAAACAACCAGAUCACUGAAUAUAGGUUAUAGUAUGUUUCUACUACUGUGAGCUCAUGAGGUAAACAGCACUCUCAAGUGAGUAGGUAAGAACAUAUCCGUGAGUCUCGUCACACCGACAAUGCACACCUCUAACCUUUCUAUUGCAUACUCAGCAAAUGUCUCUUCCACAAAUCUGUCAUCAUACCUAUUGAGUGAACACACAAACUGUUCUAGUUCCUGGAACAAUACGUACGGACGUUUCUCUCUCCAAUUUGGAAGGGAGGUGUUGGCUGCUCCUCUCGUUCUGAAUCUGCCCAAUUGGAUCAACUGGAAGUCAUGUCUGGCAACAAAGAACGAGGAGACGAAAGCUGCUCUAGAAAUGAGGAAGAACUUUGAACCAUAUUAUUUUGAUUUCACAUGCAACUGACAACGAUGAUUAAUUUCUUUAUUUUCACUUUUACUUUUGUAUAAUUGACAUUUUGUGUAUUAGCUAGUUGUCCAAUAAUAAUUAUGGUUGGCCAUAUAUAUUAUAUAGUUAUAGGAGUGCAGAUCAAUAUCAGUGGGCAAUUAUUUUCCUUGUCCCAA